GGUCAAUGAUGAGUUGUAAAAGGUCUGAAGUCGAGCUCCACCCCCUCUAGCUUCUCUGGUCCUCCCAGCCCACCUGCUGUGUAUCCCAGCAUGCUCUAGGUGUGUGUGAUGGGGCUUCAUGGUGGCUGAUAGUGAAAGACGUUCUACUCAGUGUGCGUUUGCGAGAGAGAGACAGCAUGAUGCACAGAGUGGAUACGUCUGACAAAAACAUUCACACACACACACACACACACACACACACACACACACACGAGAGGGCAAAGCUUUGAGGGACGAGUGGCUCAUGAUCUCCAGUUUUCAAUCUGAGACC